UACGUAGGGCGCAAGCGUUAUCCGGAAUUAUUGGGCGUAAAGGGCUCGUAGGCGGUUUGUCGCGUCUGCCGUGAAAGUCCGGGGCUCAACUCCGGAUCUGCGGUGGGUACGGGCAGACUAGAGUGAUGUAGGGGAGACUGGAAUUCCUGGUGUAGCGGUGGAAUGCGCAGAUAUCAGGAGGAACACCGAUGGCGAAGGCAGGUCUCUGGGCAUUAACUGACGCUGAGGAGCGAAAGCAUGGGGAGCAAACAGG
rnacentral:rRNA from 1 species